CACGGGGGGAGCAAACGUUAUUCGGAAUCACUGGGCUUAAAGGGUGCGUAGGCGGCCAUGUAAGUGGGGUGUGAAAUCCCUCGGCUCAACCGAGGAACUGCGCUCCAUACUGCAUGGCUUGAGGGAGACAGGGGUAAGCGGAACUGAUGGUGGAGCGGUGAAAUGCGUUGAUAUCAUCAGGAACACCGGUGGCGAAAGCGGCUUACUGGGUCUCUUCUGACGCUGAGGUACGAAAGCUAGGGGAGCGAACGGG
rnacentral:rRNA from 1 species